rnacentral:lncRNA from 1 species
CGCAGCACCGGAGGGUGCGAUGCCCGCCGCGGCCGCCGGGUGCCAGCCUUGCCCCGGCAAAGGCCGGGGAGGCCGCGGGGCUCCUCCUGCUGCUUCCCCCGAGCCCGUAGCUCGUCCUCGUCGGUUCUUGGUCCUCCUGGUGCCACCUUCCAGCGUUUCUUCCCCACCGAGCCCAUGCACGCGUUGCUUGCGCAGCAGUAGAAGCGAGGUCAAAUUCUCCCUCUGAAUCUGGAUCUGCCUUUGGAGGCAGCGCAAGGUGCAACCUCUACUCUGCGCCUCCUCACCUUCUGCAGCAUCCAUGGCUGGGUGCCGCAGCAUCCUCCCCACCUCGGUCACAGCCACCCAGCUGCAGUGGGACAUCUUUAAAGCUUCCUGAAAUCCACCUCGCAGCAAGAGGAACAGCAUAUUUCUGAGCAAAUUCCUCACACCUGAGCAGAGAAAACAGGGGAUGCGGGUGAUUUACCUUCCCCUUGCAUUUCAGGUACAGGUUACAGCCCAAGUGAAGAUUUUUAAAACUGCAGGAGCAAUAUGUCAUCCAGACCUAUUGCAAAUGAGGAGGAAGACAAAAAUAGACUGGUCGGAAAGGGAGAGGGAAAUCAUUCAAAACACGUCUAAGAAAGCUGGACAUAAUCAAGGACUGAAGCUUGUACCGAAAGUGGUAUACUACUACUGUGGUGGCUCUCCAGCAAAGCAGCCAUCUGGAUCCUUUGGAUGCCUCUGUCAGUUCCCCCCCACCAAUGUGCAACCUCUGCUCUUUGACUGCUUGGAGUUAUUAGAAGCAGCUGCAGGUUAA